rnacentral:rRNA from 1 species
AUUGAACGCUGGCGGCAGGCCUAACACAUGCAAGUCGAACGAGUGGCGGGCGGGAGAGUAAUGUAUGGGAAACUGCCUGAUGGAGGGGGAUAACUACUGGAACCGGUAGCUAAUCCCGCAUACCAUCGGAUGUGCCCGGAUGGGAUUGGCUAGUAGGUGGGGGAAAGGCUAACCGAGGCGACGAUCCCUAUCUGGUCUGAGAGGAUGACCGGCCACACGGGACCUGUGACACGGUCCAGACUCCUCAGUGAGGAGUCAGUGGGGAAUAUUGCACAAGGGGCGCAAUCCUGAUGCAGCCAUCCCGCGUGUAUGAAGAAGGCCGUCGGUUGUUAAAGUACUUUCAGCGGGGAGGCGUUACCCACAGAAUAAGCACCGGCUAACUCCGUGCCAGCAGCCGCGGUAAUUC